AACCAUUCUCACCUGCGGCUAGACCUGCGGAGGGAUCAUUACCACGCGAUCCAAAACGCUCACUCACGUGUAACAACGUAACCCAUGGUGCAAGCCGUUGCAGCGAUGUGCGGCUUGGGCAGCUUAAACAGCCAGUGGUUUAGCGAGCACUCCCCGUCUAACGACAGGUGUGCCUCGUGGCUCUGCCGUUCUCACCAGUAACUGAACCACACAUUCUUCACAAACCAAUCAUUUCAAACC
rnacentral:misc_RNA from 1 species